GACGAACGCUGGCGGCGUGCCUAAUACAUGCAAGUUGAGCGCUGAAGGUUGGUACUUGUACCAACUGGAUGAGCAGCGAACGGGUGAGUAACGCGUGGGUAAUCUGCCUUUGAGCGUGGGACAACAUUUGGAAACGAAUGCUAAUACCGCAUAAAAACUUUAAACACAAGUUUUAAGUUUGAAAGAUGCAAUUGCAUCACUCAAAGAUGAUCCCGCGUUGUAUUAGCUAGUUGGUGAGGUAAAGGCUAACCAAGGCGAUGAUACAUAGCCGACCUGAGAGGGGGAUCGGCCACAUUGGGACUGGGACAAGGGCCAAAAUCCUACGGGGGGGAGCAGUAGGGAAUCUUCGGCAAUGGAGGAAAGUCUGACCGAGCAACGCCGCGGGAGUGAAGGAGGUUUUCGGAUCGUAAAACUCUGUUGGUAGGGAAGAAAGUUGGUGGGAGUGGAAAACGCAUCAAGUGACGGUAACUAACCAGAAAGCGACGGCUAACUACGUG
rnacentral:rRNA from 1 species